GGGUGUAACUACGCAUCCUUUAUAAUACGGGUAGAUUAAUUGAUUGGUUAGUUGACAUUUUAGCUUUUAGCUCGGUGGCGAUCGGGCAAUGCGAGCUUUUGCAACCGGACAAUUAAGGUGGACGUCAUCAGCGAUGUGAAUGAAGGAGAUGGUGUGGGACCCAAUGCUGUUUACGUGCCCGUACGGGGACUAUAUUUCUCUAGAAUAAUGAAAUGCGACACACAACGUUUGGCGGCUACAACAAUUUUGUGCUGAAAGGCAGCUACUUCCUAUUUAUAAUUUCGCUGGUAACUGCAUGUGUAACCGCUGCGCCUCAGGCUUAACAACACCCCAAACUGUUACAUUAUUGGACGAUAAAGUACAGCCUCUCAUUAUUGCUUUAAUAUAUAUGUUUAUACACAAACAGUCAAUUAACUAAAUCCUUUGCAUUUGCAUUCCAUCUGUUGGAUUCAUAUAUUCAACAUUCUUCUGAAGCUUAUCUCUGCUCCUCAUUUUCACCUCUCUAUUCCUGCUCACUGUACCCCUCCAUCCCCUCCAUCCCCUCCAUCCCCUCCUGGCUGAGCAUCCUUGAUUCAAGCCCCUAUUCUUUCGCUCUCUCUAUUUGCUGUGUCUGUGCUGCUCUUUGUUUUGUAGAUACGAUCCAAGUCCCAGCCGACAGACACAAACAGCCCCUUGUUCAGUCCAUUUAAGUGCUGUUUGUACUCCAGCUGCAUUACAACCUUAUCAGGGGAGUCGCUGGCACACCCCGCUCCUAAUAAACUGAUAACACCUCCGAGUAUCGAUUUUGGCAUUAAACAGACCAACUUUAUCCCACAGUCUGGCAAACACUGAUAAUUGGUACCGUGAGCUCGUUUCAACUUUGAGAAGGUAUCACACCCGAUUGAGCACAUGCGCUAUAAAGCCUGCACACUUCAGGCUCGCCAUGCCUGCUGAUUGUUUCUAUUACAUCCCUCUUUAGAUUUUCUCACAAAAUCCAGCUGCAAAAUUCUGGUGGGUCAUAAAGGGAUAAGAGGGAUUAUUUGUCACGGUUUGGGUUAUUGUCUGGUUUUAUUUUGUAGUUUCCUUCCUCUGUUCUCCCUGGUCACGUCUCUUCUUCCUGCCUUGUCCCGUCGUCCGCUGUGAUUGUCUGUCGUGUGAUGAUUGUUCCCACCUGUGUCCAAUCACCUGCACCUCCCUUGUGUAUUUGAGCCAUGUGUGUCUGUCGUCAUUUGUCGCGUCAUUGUUCAUUGUAUGGUCCAAGUCCAAGUCCCUGUCCCUGUCCCUGUCCACGAUCUUGUUCUCGUUCCUGGUUCCUGUCUUUGUUUUUCCCCCUUUGGUCUUUUGCUUUUGAAAACCUUUUUGACAAUUAAAGUCCCUUUUCUUUUUGAAAACUCUGCGUCUGAGUCCUACUUUCCCCUCCAUGCAGCUCCCUGACAUUAUUAUUGUAUGAGAUGAUACGAUUUGUGUGAGAACCGUACUUGUCCUGUUGUGUACAUUUGUCAUCAAUUGAGUAGCUGAGCAAGUUUUGAAAAGUCUUUGUUCAUGUGUCCAUAUAAGCUCUCUUGACUUAUUGUGUCUUUGUUUAGCAACGUACAUAUUUAUUUAAGCUCGGCGUCGAGCAGUGCAGCGGACACCGUAGUAGCCCAUCCUGCCCCUGUGGCUCACUGAGCAAAGUAACAUAUUAUCAAUGUCAGCAUUAUCGUGUCAUUUUGUGUUGAAUUUAUUGUGCAUUGUAUUGAUUUUUACAGUGACUUGUUAGCCGCUGUUAUAUUCAAAAAUGAAGAAACGCCAGACGGGCAUCGCUGAUAAAAGGUUAAAAUCAAAUGUAUUUAUUACAAGAGAUGGUGUUGUGGUAAAAAGAAGAUCUCAGCUGAGGAGCCGCUGGUCUCAGCGACCAACAGGCCCCAGGUCAGUCCUUUGACCAUCCCUAGUGCCCGUCUGCUGCCUCCACCAGUGAACUCCAGAACAAUGGUUCCUACAGGUAUUUAUACCAAUGCUUAAAGGUGUGAAAGUCAGUGUCCACACCUCUGGGAGUCUUCUGGUGAGUUCAAUGUAACUCGGAUUUUGAAUGAUCCAUAGUCAAUAUCAGUUGUUGUUCAAGUAUUACAUGCAUGCAUUCCAGUUGAUUCCAUCACAUCAAAUACAAUCAUAACUGUACAUUGGUAUUAUUCUAUUACAGUGGUUUUACAAUAUUGUCAUUACUUUAUUGAUUACAGUUUCAGAAUCAUGGCUGUAUUCUGGUGUACACUAUAUGCAUUUUUAUUAAUUUUAUGAACCGGAUCGUCAGUUUAUUUCUAAUAUCCUACACCGCAUGUGGUCAGCAUUUAAUAGCAUUCAACAUUUAAUGUCUGUAUCUGUCUGUUCAACCAAAUUAUUUAACGUUCAAUGACACGGUGACUGGCUCCGCCCCCUUACUGUCAAAAAGAAUAACAGCGAGCGCGUAAAAAACACCUUUGAGCGCGAGCACAAAUUAGCCUCACGAGCGAGGAAACAGACUUUUGCUUGUGGAUGUUUGAUUUACGCGCGUGCAUCAACCUGAUUUGCGCUCUCCAAUUUUGACAGUGAUUUUCCGCCAUACAGUAGUGCGGCCGUCAAGUUAAAUAAUCACCAAUCGAUUAGAUUUUAUUAUUUCUGUGGAAUGAGUAUACUGUUUGGUGAAAAUAAUGGGGUAUUGACUGAUGAAUUGUUGAUUGCCAAUGAACCAAAUAUGAAAAUAUUGUACAAAAGUUUUGUUUUGCAUUAAAUUAAUGCAAAAUCAUGUAGAAAUGUGUUUUAAGAGUUAUUUUGUUCACUGGAUGUGAGUUCUCAACCCACUGAGGAUUUGAGGAAAAAUUUUUUUUACAUUUUUGAAAAAUAAAAUAAAUUGUUUCUUUGAUUAAUUGAUGAAUCGGAUUUUAAAAACAAAAGCAUUAAAAAUCUUUAAAUUCCAACCCUUAAAUCUAAAACAAAACUGCAAAUUCACAUUGCAAAAAUACUUCAGAAAGUACACGUUGCUCCUUGAACAGAAAAUCAUUGAUAAAAAGAAAAAUACAAAUCGGAAAAAUUUAACAGGGUUUGUUUUAACGUUAGAACUUGUUCUCUAUUCUACACUCAGACGCACACAUUCACAAACACACCCCCAUGGUCACUUGAA
ensembl:lncRNA